rnacentral:misc_RNA from 1 species
GGAAGGAUCAUUAACGCUAAUCCAACAACCUAAACCAAGCCUUAAGUUGCAGCAUUGGAUCAAGCUAGCGAAAGCAGGCUAAUUCUUUGCAGCAUCUAACAAAACUAAACAAAAGGAGUUUAACUAAGCUCUUACACUAAAACCAAAUUUUCAACGAUGGAUAUCUUGGUUCCCAUAACGAUGAAGAACGCAGCGAAGUGCGAUAAGCAGUGCGAAUUGCAGAACCGUGAGUCAUCAGAUUUUUGAACGCAAUUGGCGCCAGUUGGCAAUCCAGCUGGCAUGCUUGUUUCAGUGUCUUGUUUUCUCCUCACCCAAAUCUUAAUGUGAGAGAUACCCUUCUCUUGCUAAGUAUGAAAGCACUCUGUACUUUGCAGGCAAUCUUGACUUGUCAAGGGUUGCACUCAAUGCAGCAGUCACAUUCACAUGUGAACUCAUUGAGAGUAGAGACAGUGCAGCUAGUCUGCUAGUGCUUAGAUCUCUAAACUUUACUUGCAUCUGAAAUCAAGCAGGAUCACCCGCUGAACUUAAGCAUAUCACUAAGCGGAGGAAAAGAAAUUAACUAAGAUUGCCCCAGUAACGGCGAGUGAAGCGGCAAAAGCCCAAAAUGGUAAUCUUCACACUUCGUGUGACGAAUUGUAAUCUAAAGGUGGAGCACUCAAUUAGUGGAGACGCAGAAGUGCCCUAGAAUGGGCCGCCAGAGAGGGUGACAGCCCCGUAUGUGGUGUCUCUACUUAACGAGUGUCCUUCGAAGAGUCGGGUUGUUUUGAAUUGCAGCCCUAAGCGGGAGAUAGACUUCUUCUAAGGCUAAAUAUAUAUGGGAAACCGAUAGCGAACAAGUACUGUGAAGGAAAGAUGAAAAGAACUUUGAAAAGAGAGUCAAAAGACUUGAAAUCGUUGUGAAGGAAGCGGUAGAAAUUUAUUCUUCAGUUGUGAACAAAGGUUUUUGCCUAACCAUUGGGGCUCUGAGCACUUAAAAGGCUCUCUGUUUCACUUGGGGAAGUGAUUGCUGAGUUCUAGGCUGUGAGGCAAAAUGGGUUUCCACAUCCACAAAAGCUUGGUUAACCUGAUCCGGUUCGCUGGAUAGUUCUCCUUUGCUCGUGGGCGUGCAGACUGAGGAUGCUUUGUGCGAUUUUGCUAAAAUGGUUUUUUACCGACCCGUCUCGAAACACGGACCAAGGAGUCUAACAAAUAUGCGAGUGUGCUGGUGGAAAAACCAACAUGCGUAAUGAAGGUGAUUGAUGCCAAGCGCAAGCAGCAGCAUCGACCGACCAUGAUCCUCCGGUGAAAGGUUUGAGUAUGAGCAUAUCUGUUAGGACCCGAAAGAUGGUGAACUAUGCCUGGGUAGGGUGAAGCCAGGGGAAACUCUGGUGGAGGCUCGUAGCGGUUCUGACGUGCAAAUCGAUCGUCAAACUUGGGUAUAGGGGCGAAAGACUAAUCGAACCAUCUAGUAGCUGGUUCCCUCCGAAGUUUCCCCAGGAUAUACGUAUAUAGACGCUACCGCUAAAUAUUGGCGAGAGACCGAUAGCGAACAAGUACCGUGAGGGAAAGAUGAAAAGAACUUUGAAAAGAGAGUUAAACAGUGCGUGAAAUUGUUGAAAGGGAAACGUUUGACACCAGUUAUGCGGGUGGAAAAUCAGUCUUUUGCAAUGGGGAGUUGUGGGCGUUCAGACCGCAAGGCUGGCGUUUGCUUCAUCUUUGUUGUAAGUGAUGCACUUUUUCAUUUGCAGGUCAACAUCAGUUUGCUUUGCUGGACAAAACCCCAAGGGAAGGUGGCAGCUUAGGCUGUGUUAUAGCCCUGGGGCGAUACAGUGGAGUGGACUGAGGUUUCGCAGUGUGUGCUCUCGGGCAAGGCUGACUGGGUGCUAUGGGAUCGUUCGGCGUACAAUGCAUGCAUUUUGCGUCGUGUCUUUUUCAUACUCGCUCAACUCGGCUCUUCCACACUUAGGAUGUUGACUUAAUGGUUUUAAACGACCCGUCUUGAAACACGGACCAAGGAGUCUAACAUAUAUGCAAGUGUUUGGGUGGCAAACCCAUGCGCGUAAUGAAAGUGAACGUAGGUGCGAUCCGCAAGGUGCAGCAUCGACCGAUCUUGAUAUUUUUGGAUAGAUUUGAGUAAGAGCAUAUAUGCUGGGACCCGAAAGAUGGUGAACUAUGCCUGAAUAGGGUGAAGCCAGAGGAAACUCUGGUGGAGGCUCGUAGCGAUUCUGACGUGCAAAUCGAUCGUCAAAUUUGGGUAUAGGGGCGAAAGACUAAUCGAACCAUCUAGUAGCUGGUUCCUGC